rnacentral:rRNA from 1 species
UCUGGUUUCUAGUGGCGGACGGGUGAGUAACGCGUGGGUAACCUGCCUUAUACAGGGGGAUAACAACCAGAAAUGGUUGCUAAUACCGCAUAAGCGCACAGGACCGCAUGGUCCGGUGUGAAAAACUCCGGUGGUAUAAGAUGGACCCGCGUUGGAUUAGCUAGUUGGCGGGGUAACGGCCUACCAAGGCGACGAUCCAUAGCCGGCCUGAGAGGGUGAACGGCCACAUUGGGACUGAGACACGGCCCAGACUCCUACGGGAGGCAGCAUG